AGAGUUUGAUCAUGGCUCAGGACAAACGCUGGCGGCGUGCCUAAUACAUGCAGGUCGAACGGUCUCCCUUCGGGGAGAUAGUGGCGGACGGGUGAGUAACACGUAGAUAACCUGCCCUGGAGUGGGGAAUAACAUCUCGAAAGAGAUGCUAAUACCGCAUACGUUCUUUGCUGAUAGACAAAGAAGAAAGCUAUAGCAAGCGCAAGCAAGCUAAGUGCUCGAGGAGGGGUCUGCGGCGGAUUAGCUAGAUGGUGGGGUAAAAGCCUACCAUGGCGACGAUCCGUAGCUGGUCUGAGAGGACGAUCAGCCACACUGGGACUGAGACACGGCCCAGACUCCUACGGGAGGCAGCAGUAAGGAAUAUUCCACAAUGGGCGAAAGCCUGAUGGAGCGACGCCGCGUGAGGGAAGACGCCCUUUGGGGUGUAAACCUCUUUUGUGGGGGAUGAUAAUGACAGUACCCCACGAAUAAGCCUCGGCUAACUACGUGCCAGCCGCCGCGGUAAUAC
rnacentral:rRNA from 1 species